GUCCGUACCAACUACGAGGAUUGAGACGCCUCGCCGAAGAUGAGGUGGAAGGAGUAAACGAUCGACGAGUGCGAAUGCGGAUAGACGUGCAACCUGAGGAGGAGGAGGAGGUUCCCAACGGUUGAUCUGGUUUCAGGUAAGAAAAUAGCAAGUAUUGCUUUCAAAAUUAUCUCACAGAAUAUCGAAUUCAAUUAAUAAAAGCUUAAUUUUGUUUCAGAUGUGGAGGAAAAUAGCGAUGAGGAGCCGACUCUGAGCGAAGCCGACACCGAAAUUUACACACCGCUACAAGCAAACGAUCUGGAUGAAUCUGAAUAUGGAGAAGAAGAAAAUGAGGAGGAGGAGGA